rnacentral:rRNA from 1 species
AAAAAAGGUAAGCUACUAAGAGCGAAUGGUGGAUGCCUUGACUGGUAAAGGCGAUGAAGGACGUACUAGACUGCGAUAAGCUACGGGGAGCUGUCAAGAAGCUUUGAUCCGUAGAUUUCCGAAUGGGGCAACCCAAUGUAUAGAGAUAUACAUUACCUAUAUAGGAGCGAACGAGGGGAAUUGAAACAUCUUAGUACCCUCAGGAAAAGAAAUCAAUAGAGAUUGCGUCAGUAGCGGCGAGCGAAAGCGCAAGAGGGCAAACCCAGUGCUUGCACUGGGGGUUGUAGGACUGCAAUGUGCAAGAGGUGAGUUUAGCAGAACAUUCUGGAAAGUAUAGCCAUAGAGGGUGAUAGUCCCGUAUGCGAAAAACAAACCUUAGCUAGCAGUAUCCUGAGUAGGGCGGGACACGAGAAAUCCUGUCUGAAGCUGGGUCGACCACGAUCCAACCCUAAAUACUAAUACCAGAUCGAUAGUGCACAAGUACCGUGAGGGAAAGGUGAAAAGAACUGAGGUGAUCAGAGUGAAAUAGAACCUGAAACCAUUUGCUUACAAUCAUUCAGAGCCCUAUGUAGCAAUACAGGGUGAUGGACUGCCUUUUGCAUAAUGAGCCUGCGAGUUGUGGUGUCUGGCAAGGUUAAGCAAACGCGAAGCCGUAGCGAAAGCGAGUCUGAAUAGGGCGCUUAGUCAGAUGCUGCAGACCCGAAACGAAGUGAUCUAUCCAUGAGCAAGUUGAAGCUAGUGUAAGAACUAGUGGAGGACUGAACCCAUAGGCGUUGAAAAGCCCCGGGAUGACUUGUGGAUAGGGGUGAAAGGCCAAUCAAACUUCGUGAUAGCUGGUUCUCUCCGAAAUAUAUUUAGGUAUAGCGUUGUGUCGUAAUAUAAGGGGGUAGAGCACUGAAUGGGCUAGGGCAUACACCAAUGUACCAAACCCUAUCAAACUCCGAAUACCUUAUAUGUAAUCACAGCAGUCAGGCGGCGAGUGAUAAAAUCCGUCGUCAAGAGGGAAACAACCCAGACUACCAGCUAAGGUCCCUAAAUCUUACUUAAGUGGAAAACGAUGUGAAGUUACUUAAACAACCAGGAGGUUGGCUUAGAAGCAGCCAUCCUUUAAAGAAAGCGUAAUAGCUCACUGGUCUAGUGAUUUUGCGCGGAAAAUAUAACGGGGCUAAAGUAAGUACCGAAGCUGUAGACUUGCACACAACUUAGAUUAUUUAAGUUUAGAAUAUGAGAAACUAAGUUAUAUGUUUAGUUAUAUUUUUACUGAUUUUUAUAGAGUAAAGAUAGAAAUAAAACUUAGUAAAAUCAGUAAAAAUAUUCUUAGACUAAAGUUAAGUAGUUUAAGUUGUGUGCAAGUGGUAGGAGAGCGUUCUAUUUGCGUCGAAGGUAUACCGGUAAGGAGUGCUGGAGCGAAUAGAAGUGAGCAUGCAGGCAUGAGUAGCGAUAAUUAAUGUGAGAAUCAUUAACGCCGUAAACCCAAGGUUUCCUACGCGAUGCUCGUCAUCGUAGGGUUAGUCGGGUCCUAAGUCGAGUCCGAAAGGGGUAGACGAUGGCAAAUUGGUUAAUAUUCCAAUACCAACAUUAGUGUGCGAUGGAAGGACGCUUAGGGCUAAGGGGGCUAGCGGAUGGAAGUGCUAGUCUAAGGUCGUAGGAGGUUAUACAGGCAAAUCCGUAUAACAAUACUCCGAGAACUGAAAGGCUUUUUGAAGUCUUCGGAUGGAUAGAAGAACCCCUGAUGCCGUCGAGCCAAGAAAAGUUUCUAAGUUUAGCUAAUGUUGCCCGUACCGUAAACCGACACAGGUGGGUGGGAUGAGUAUUCUAAGGCGCGUGGAAGAACUCUCUUUAAGGAACUCUGCAAAAUAGCACCGUAUCUUCGGUAUAAGGUGUGGUUAGCUUUGUAUUAGGAUUUACUCCGAAAGCAAGGAAACUUACAACAAAGAGUCCCUCCCGACUGUUUACCAAAAACACAGCACUCUGCUAACUCGUAAGAGGAUGUAUAGGGUGUGACGCCUGCCCGGUGCUCGAAGGUUAAUUGAUGGGGUUAGCAUUAGCGAAGCUCUUGAUCGAAGCCCGAGUAAACGGCGGCCGUAACUAUAACGGUCCUAAGGUAGCGAAAUUCCUUGUCGGUUAAAUACCGACCUGCAUGAAUGGCGUAACGAGAUGGGAGCUGUCUCAAAGAGGGAUCCAGUGAAAUUGUAGUGGAGGUGAAAAUUCCUCCUACCCGCGGCAAGACGGAAAGACCCCGUGGACCUUUACUACAGCUUGACACUGCUAUUUGGAUAAGAAUGUGCAGGAUAGGUGGGAGGCUUUGAGUAUAUGACGCCAGUUGUAUAUGAGCCAUUGUUGAGAUACCACUCUUUCUUAUUUGGGUAGCUAACCAGCUUGAGUUAUCCUCAAGUGGGACAAUGUCUGGUGGGUAGUUUGACUGGGGCGGUCGCCUCCCAAAUAAUAACGGAGGCUUACAAAGGUUGGCUCAGAACGGUUGGAAAUCGUUCGUAGAGUAUAAAGGUAUAAGCCAGCUUAACUGCAAGACAUACAAGUCAAGCAGAGACGAAAGUCGGUCUUAGUGAUCCGGUGGUUCUGUGUGGAAGGGCCAUCGCUCAAAGGAUAAAAGGUACCCCGGGGAUAACAGGCUGAUCUCCCCCAAGAGCUCACAUCGACGGGGAGGUUUGGCACCUCGAUGUCGGCUCAUCGCAUCCUGGGGCUGGAGCAGGUCCCAAGGGUAUGGCUGUUCGCCAUUUAAAGCGGUACGCGAGCUGGGUUCAGAACGUCGUGAGACAGUUCGGUCCCUAUCUGCCGUGGGCGUAAGAAGAUUGAAGAGAUUUGACCCUAGUACGAGAGGACCGGGUUGAACAAACCACUGGUGUAGCUGUUGUUCUGCCAAGAGCAUCGCAGCGUAGCUAAGUUUGGAAAGGAUAAACGCUGAAAGCAUCUAAGCGUGAAGCCAACUCUAAGAUGAAUCUUCUCUAAGCUCUCUAGAAGACUACUAGUUUGAUAGGCUGGGUGUGUAAUGGAUGAAAGUCCUUUAGCUGACCAGUACUAAUAGAGCGUUUGGCUUAUCUUUAAUAAAGCAU